ensembl:lncRNA
UAAGAUCAGGUGUGGUCAGUUAGUGGGUGCGGCAAACGCACCUGAACACACUUAACAAGAUAGGAUAGAGUUUUGUUGAUGGGAGAUUCGGGAAGUGUGUUGAAUGAGGUCCAGCGGUCAGAGACGAAAGAAGCGCAGAGCUGAAGGUUUUCUGACACGAGUAGAAAAGAGGCCGGCUGGAGAGUUCAAAGAAAACAGGGAAGAACACCAAGUCUUACUACUCAAAGACAAAGGAAAAAGAAAACCGAAAGGAAUGGAGAAGGAAACUGAAAAAAAGAGGCACCGAUUCACCCCUGGAGAUGAGGAUCUUAUUAUUUCAGGGGUACUUGGGCACUGGGAGGACCUCUUCGGCGCCCAGGCCCACAUUCGCCCCCGGGGGUCAAAGACUGCAACCUGGAACACCAUCGCUGGGACCUUGACCUCGGCUGUGGCGAGAUGUGGUGACGAUGUCCGGAAGAAAUACAAUCUCAUAAGGAGCCAAAUCAAGCAAAAGGUUUCUUCUAUCCGGACAUGGUCCACCCAGACUGGUGGGGGGCCCAACACCGUGCCGGCGCUGACCGACCUGGAGCAGCAACUUUUCUCCCGAAUGGCAGAGACCGAAGCUGGUGUAGGGCCUGUUGAUUUGGGAUUUGGUCUCUCUCAGGGAGAAAUCUCCAGCUCUGGUCCCCCACCAGCAGCAGAGGGAACUGUGGAGGCAGCUUUACCCUCUGUCACCAUGGAGGAGCUACCCUCCACCUCACCAUCAACACCUUGGCCAGCACCAACAGUGCCACCCCAACCCAUCACCUCCCGUCCUGCACCAGCUCACUCAAUCCACUCUCAAUCAAUGAAUCAAAUUUAUUUUAUAAAGCCCUUUUUACAUCAGCAGUUGUCACAAAGUGCUUUACAGAUACCCAGCCUGAAACCCCAAAUAGCAAGCAAUGCAGAUGCACUCUCUGGCACCGCACCCCAACCCAUCACCUCCUGUCCUGCACCAGCUCAUUCCAUCCACUCUGGCUUUGCUCCCCAACCCAUCACCUCCUGUCCUGCACCAGCUCAUUCCAUCCACUCUGGCUUUGCUCCCCAACCCAUUACCUCCUGUCCUGCACCAGCUCAUUCCAUCCACUCUGGCUUUGCUCCCCAACCCAUCACCUCCUGUCCUGCACCAGCUCAUUCCAUCCACUCUGGCUUUGCUCCCCAACCCAUCACCUCCUGUCCUGCACCAGCUCACUCCAUCCACUCUGACUCUACACCCCAACCCAUCACGUCUGGCUGGACACCACAAGGCCCCCAAGCCAAUCUGCUCCAACAAAUCCUGGAGACACAAACGCAACAAAUCCAUGUUACACAGACCGCCCAGCACAUCCACCAAGCUCUUUAUGAUUUAUUAGAAAAAGCACAUGAAACACAGAAGGCACACCUGGAUGUGGAGAAGAACCGGCUCCAGCUGGAUAGAGAGCGCUUGAGGGUGGAGACAGAGCGCCUGCAGGUGGAGAGGGAGCGCCUCAAGAUGGAGAAGGAUCGCCUGGGGGAAGGGGAGGCGCUUCGGCAGCUCUCUGUCUCUGGGUCAGUCGCCCUAGAACACCAGACGCCUGUGAGUUCAAGAACUGUCAGUGCCUCCCCCACCCUUCCUCUGGGAACACCAUCAGCCUCCAUGUCCAGUCCCCUCACAUUAAUAUCACCUACUGCACCACACUUUGAUUUCUUAUUUUCCCCAUUCCCAUUACCGGUAAUCACAACCCAUUCCACCCAGCCAUCACAAACCAGCCCUGCCUCAACCUCCCCUGACUUAACCAGCCCUGCCCCAACCUCCCCUACCUUAAAAAUUCCUGCCUCAACCUCUCCUACCUUAACCAGCCCUGCCCCAACCUCUCCUACCUUAACCGUUUCUGCCCACUCUCUCAUCCCUCCAAUCUCCGGAUCUGUUAAACGGCGAGUUCAGGAGACAGUCCGGCCUUGGCCUGGACCCACUGCCAAGAAUACAAAACACCAAUAAACAAAUGUAAUAAAAUACAAGUUUCUUUUCUUACAGCCUCUUCACACUUUCUACACAGUACUCACAUGUAAUCGUGCGUACUUGCUACGUAGAGAGAGUGGAAGGAUGAUAGGUCCUCCGGAAGUUUAGUUUUCUUCCAGUUCUGUGUAACUGUUCUGUUAGCAACCCUGUUCUGUUAGCAACCCUGUUCUGUUAGCAACCCUGUUCUGUUAGCAACCCUGUUCUGUUAGCAACCCUGUUCUGUUAGCAACCCUGUUCUGUUAGCACGUAGUGAGUCACUCAGUCAUGGAGAGGAGGAUCGGGCUGCCCGGGAGGAAAGGGGACAGUUGGUGUCAAAGGAUGGGAGGAGAGUCGGGUUGAAAAGGCAGUCAAGAGACAGAAGGGAGUAUUUCACAGAAGGAAGUGGAUGGGAUGGAAGAGUAGUGGGAGAGAGCGAAGAUUGCAUCGGUGGUCUCAUUUUGUGAGCUUGAGUGGCCUAAACACUUCGCGCCUGAGCCCGAACAGUCAGAGCGGGUCUCACUGACUUUGAAUGUGAAAUUGCGCCAGCUCAUCCAACCAGAAAAGCGGGCAUCUUGGUAGGGAGUCUGGCCGUUGCCCACUGGUCAGCCAAAUACUCAAUAUAAAUGAUUGACAACAGAACAAUUGUGCAAUUUUUUAAACAUGCUCAUGGGCAGCCGGCCAUGUCAUUUAUUUUGUUCACACAAUGCAUUCGGAAAGUAUUCAGAUCCCUUGACUCUUCCCACAUUGUUACGUUACAGCCUUCUAAAAUUGAUUAAAUAUUGUUUUCCCCCUCAAUCUACACACAAUACCCUAUAAUGACAAAGCGAAAACAGGUUGUUUCUAAUAUAUAAUAAAUUAAUCAUCUGUAGUACCUUAGUAUUCAGACCCUUUGCAUCAUGUUUCCAUCCAUUUUUAGAAACAUCAAGGAUGAAGUCCACCUGUGGUAAAUUCAAUUGAUUGGACAUGAUUUGGGAAGGCGCACACCGGUCUAUACAAGGUCCCACAGUAGAUGUCAGAGCAAAAACUAAGACAUGCGGUCGAAGGAAUUGUCCGUAGAGCUCUGAGACAGGAUUGUGUUGAGGAACAGAUCUGGGGAAGGGUACCAACACAUUUAUGCAGCAUUGAAGAUCCCCAAGAACACUGCCUCCAUCAUUCUUAAAUGGGAGACGUUUGCAACCACCAAGACUCUUCCUAGAGCUGGCCGCCUGCCCAAACUGAGCAAUCUGGGUAGCAGGGCCUUGGUCAGGGAGGUGACGAGAAACUACAUUCUCUGGUCUGAUGAAACCAAGAUUGAACUCUAACUUUAAUGCCAAGCAUCACGUCUGGAGGAAACCUGGAACCAUCCCUACGGUGAAGCAUGGUGGUGGCAGCAUCAUGUCUGGAGGAAACCUGGCACCAUCCCUACGGUGAAGCAUGGUGGUGGCAGCAUCAUGUCUGGAGGAAACCUGGCACCAUCCCUACGGUGAAGUGCAGUGGUGGCAGCAUCAUGUCUGGAGGAAACCUGGCACCAUCCCUACGGUGAAGUGCAGUGGUGGCAGCAUCAUGUCUGGAGGAAACCUGGCACCAUCCCUACGGUGAAGCAUGGUGGUGGCAGCAUCAUGUCUGGAGGAAACCUGGCACCAUCCCUACGGUGAAGUGCAGUGGUGGCAGCAUCAUGCUGUGGGAUGUUUUUCAGAGGCAGGGACUGG